rnacentral:misc_RNA from 1 species
GUGAGUCAUCGAAUCUUUGAACGCAAGUUGCGCUCUCGAGAUAUCCUUGAGAGCAUGCCUCUUUGAGUGUCGGUUUCCAUUACUUCGCUCUGAGCGAGUGACUGCCGCUUGAUCGUCCCCGGACGUUGAUGCAGCUUUGUCCAAACGGGUGCCUGGUCUUCUUGAAUCGCCUUAAAACGACCAAGAUCGGAAACUUAACCAACAGAUCUCAAAUGAGGCAAGACUACCCGCCGAAUUUAAGCAUAUCAAUAAGCGGAGGA